CCGAGCAUAGCUCAGCGGUAGAGCAGCGUCUUUACACGGCGAAGGUCCCAGGUUCAAUCCCUGGUGCUCGGA
rnacentral:tRNA from 1 species